rnacentral:ncRNA from 1 species
CCUCUCCGCCGAAAGCCUAAGGGUUCCUGGGGAAGGCUCGUCCUCCCAGGGUUAGUCGGGACCUAAGCCGAGGCUGAAAAGCGUAGGCGAUGGACAACAGGUGGAAAUUCCUGUACUACCUCCACUCCGUUUGAGCAACGGGGGGACGCAGGAGGGUAGGGUGAGCAGACUGUUGGAUAUGUCUGUCCAAGCAGUGAGGCGUGUGUAUAGGCAAAUCCGUACACUGUAACGCCAGGCUGUGAUGGCGAGCGAAAUUGUAGUAGCGAAGUCCCUGAUCUCACACUGCCAAGAAAAGCCUCUAGCGAGGAGUGAGGUACCCGUACCGCAAACCGACACAGGUAGGCGAGGAGAGAAUCCUAAGGCGCGCGAGAAAACUCUUGCUAAGGAACUCGGCAAAAUGACCCCGUAACUUCGGGAGAAGGGGUGCCCCGGUAGCGUGUCAAAGCGCGAGGGGGCCGCAGUGAAAAGGCCCAAGCGACUGUUUAGCAAAAACACAGGUCUCUGCGAAGCCGCAAGGCGAAGUAUAGGGGCUGACGCCUGCCCGGUGCUGGAAGGUUAAGGGGAAAGGUUAGCACCUUCGGUGCGAAGCUUUGAACCGAAGCCCCAGUAAACGGCGGCCGUAACUAUAACGGUCCUAAGGUAGCGAAAUUCCUUGUCGGGUAAGUUCCGACCCGCACGAAAGGCGUAACGACUUGGGCACUGUCUCGGCAAGAGACUCGGUGAAAUCAUACUACCUGUGAAGAUGCAGGUUACCCGCGACAAGACGGAAAGACCCCAUGGAGCUUUACUGCAGCCUGAUAUUGAAUGCUGGUAUUGUUUGUACAGGAUAGGUGGGAGCCGUUGAAGCCGGACCGUCAGGUUCGGUGGAGGCGUCCUUGGGAUACCACCCUGACAAUGCUGGCCUUCUCACUUGCAUCCCUCACCGGGAUGAAGGACCGUGUCAGGCGGGCAGUUUGACUGGGGCGGUCGCCUCCUAAAAGGUAACGGAGGCGCCCAAAGGUUCCCUCAGAAUGGUUGGAAAUCAUUCGCAGAGUGUAAAGGCACAAGGGAGCUUGACUGCGAGACCUACAAGUCGAGCAGGGACGAAAGUCGGGCUUAGUGAUCCGGUGGUUCCGCAUGGAAGGGCCAUCGCUCAACGGAUAAAAGCUACCCUGGGGAUAACAGGCUUAUCUCCCCCAAGAGUCCACAUCGACGGGGAGGUUUGGCACCUCGAUGUCGGCUCAUCGCAUCCUGGAGCUGAAGUAGGUUCCAAGGGUUGGGCUGUUCGCCCAUUAAAGCGGUACGCGAGCUGGGUUCAGAACGUCGUGAGACAGUUCGGUCCCUAUCUGUCGUGGGCGCAGGAAAUUUGAGAGGAGCUGUCCUUAGUACGAGAGGACCGGGAUGGACGCACCGCUGGUGCACCAGUUGUUCCGCCAGGAGCACAGCUGGGUAGCUAUGUGCGGUCGGGAUAAGCGCUGAAAGCAUCUAAGCGUGAAGCCCCCCUCAAGAUGAGAUUUCCCACAGCAUAAGCUGGUAAGACCCCUUAAAGAUGAUGAGGUAGAUAGGUUCGGGGUGGAAGCGUGGCAACACGCGGAGCUGACGAAUACUAAUCGGUCGAGGGCUUAACCAA